UCCAGACUCCUACGGGAGGCAGCAGUGGGGAAUAUUGCACAAUGGGGGAAACCCUGAUGCAGCAACGCCGCGUGAGUGAAGAAGUAUUUCGGCAUGUAAAGCUCUAUCAGCAGGGAAGAGAAUGACGGUACCUGACUAAGAAGCCCCGGCUAACUACGUGCCAGCAGCCGCGGUAAUACGUAGGGGGCGAGCGUUAUCCGGAUUUACUGGGUGUAAAGGGAGCGCAGACGGCAGUGCAAGUCUGGAGUGAAAGCCCGUGGCUUAACCACGGGACUGCUCUGGAAACUGUGCAGCUAGAGUGCAGGAGAGGCAGGCGGAAUUCCUAGUGUAGCGGUGAAAUGCGUAGAUAUUAGGAGGAACACCGGUGGCGAAGGCGGCCUGCUGGACUGUAACUGACGUUGAGGCUCGAGAGCGUGGGGAGCAAACAGGAUUAGAUACCCGUGUACA
rnacentral:rRNA from 1 species